UGCAAGUCGAACGGGAUCUGAGGAUAGCUUGCUAUCCGAUUUGAGAGUGGCGCACGGGUGCGUAACGCGUGAGCAACCUACCCAUAUCAGGGGGAUAGCCCGAAGAAAUUCGGAUUAACACCGCAUAACAAUGUAGUAACACAUGUUACCACAUUUAAAUAUUUAUAGGAUAUGGAUGGGCUCGCGUGACAUUAGCUAGUUGGUAAGGUAACGGCUUACCAAGGCAACGAUGUCUAGGGGCUCUGAGAGGAGAAUCCCCCACACUGGUACUGAGACACGGACCAGACUCCUACGGGAGGCAGCAGUAAGGAAUAUUGGUCAAUGGGCGCAAGCCUGAACCAGCCAUGCCGCGUGCAGGAUGACUGCCCUAUGGGUUGUAAACCGCUUUUGUUAGGGAAUAAACCUGAUUAUGUAUAAUCAGCUGAAUGUACCUAAAGAAUAAGGAUCGGCUAACUCCGUGCCAGCAGCCGCGGUAAUACGGAGGAUCCAAGCGUUAUCCGGAUUUAUUGGGUUUAAAGGGUGCGUAGGUGGCUUAAUAAGUCAGGGGUGAAAGACAUCGGCUCAACCGAUGCAGUGCCUUUGAUACUGUUGAGCUUGAAUUAUGUUGAAGAUGGCGGAAUGAGACAAGUAGCGGUGAAAUGCAUAGAUAUGUCUCAGAACACCGAUUGCGAAGGCAGCUGUCUAAGCAUUGAUUGACACUGAUGCACG
rnacentral:rRNA from 1 species